GUGUCCUUAGUUUAGUGGCUCAGAACUCCCCCUGCCCGGGGGCGACGCCGGUUUGAAUCCGGCAGGACGCA
rnacentral:tRNA from 1 species